rnacentral:lncRNA from 10 species
CCCCCGCCCCCAUCGUUCUCCCCAAAAUGGGGCUGAGGAGGGGCACAUCUGGCGGACCCCUCCCAGGUGACGAGGCAGGUUUAGCAGGUGCGAAGCCUGGAACCCCCACACCCACCUUCCAGGGAGAAAAGUGCCGCUGCUUUCCGGGAAGUUCCCGGCUUUUCAGCACCCGGAACAACAGCAUUGGCGCAGGGGAGACGCUCUCCAUUCGCCCCUUGCUCGCGUCCAGUCGCCGGCUCCGUGCUCUUCUGCCCAGGCUUUCUCUCACCCGCCCAGUGCUGCGUCCUGCAGACCCAGCCUCCUGCGGGGAUAGGGAGCACCUUCCCCAAAGCCAGGAGAAGGGGUCUCCCUGGACAAGGACAUCCUGCUCGCCCUGCCCGGGUGUGUUCAGAGGCGACACCGGCUACUUAACUUCACAGCUCAUUUCUUGAGGAAACCAACAUGGCUUUGCCUGCCAGUGGAGAGAAGUGGAGAAGAAUGCUUCAAGGCAGAGAGCUUGGACUCCACAGAGAUGGCUAAAAGGGACAGACAUAAAAGAAACUCAGCUUGAUUCAAGGGUUAUACAGAUGUGAUCAAGGAUUUUACAAUGGAGAGAUAAUACUGGAUUAUCUGGGUGAGCUCUAAAUGUAAUCCCAUGCAUUCUUACAAGAGGCAGGCAGAGGGAGAUUUGACACAGACAGAAGAGAAGGCAAUGUGACUGCGAAUCAGAUAUUGAAGUAAUGUGGCCGCAAACCAAGGAAAGCCAUCAGCCUUCAGAAGAAUCAAGGAAUGAAUUCUCCUCUACAGCCUCUGAAGCGAACAAAACCCUGCCAACACCUUGAUUUCAGUCGAGUGAUAAUUAUUUCACACCUUUUGCCCCCAACAAUGUGAGAGAAUAAAUUUCUGUUAUUUCAAGCCAUCAAGUUUGUAGUAAUUUGUUACAGCAGCCAUAGAAACCUAAUAAACU